UGGGGAAUUUUGGACAAUGGGCGAAAGCCUGAUCCAGCAAUGCCGCGUGUGUGAAGAAGGCCUUCGGGUUGUAAAGCACUUUUGUCCGGAAAGAAAUCCUUGGCUCUAAUACAGUCGGGGGAUGACGGUACCGGAAGAAUAAGCACCGGCUAACUACGUGCCAGCAGCCGCGGUAAUACGUAGGGUGCAAGCGUUAAUCGGAAUUACUGGGCGUAAAGCGUGCGCAGGCGGUUUGCUAAGACCGAUGUGAAAUCCCCGGGCUCAACCUGGGAACUGCAUUGGUGACUGGCAGGCUAGAGUAUGGCAGGAGGGGGGUAGAAUUCCACGUGUAGCAGUGAAAUGCGUAGAGAUGUGGAGGAAUACCGAUGGCGAAGGCAGCCCCCUGGGCCAAUACUGACGCUCAUGCACGAAAGCGUGGGGGAGCAAACAGGAUUAGAUACCCUGGUAGUCCACGCCCUAAAACGAUGUCAACUAGUUGUUGGGGAUUCAUUUCCUUAGUAACGUAGCUAACGCGUGAAGUUGACCGCCUGGGGAGUACGGUCGCAAGAUUAAAACUCAAAUGAAUUGACGGGGUCAUAGCUGUUUCCU
rnacentral:rRNA from 1 species